UAGAGUUUGAUCAUGGCUCAGAAUGAACGCUGGCGGCGUGCUUAACACAUGCAAGUCGAACGAGAAAGGGAUUGCUUGCAAUCCUGAGUAGAGUGGCGCACGGGUGAGUAACACGUAGAUAAAUCUACCUUCAAACCUGGGGUAACUGUUCGAAAGGGCAGCUAAUACCGGAUAAAGUUAAUUUGCACAGGUGAAUUAAUGAAAGAUUGCCUCUUCUUGAAAGCAAUUGUUUGGAGAUGAGUCUGCGGACCAUUAGUUUGUUGGUGGGGUAACGGCCUACCAAGACUGCGAUGGUUAGCUGGUCUGAGAGGAUGAUCAGCCACACUGGAACUGACACACGGUCCAGACUCCUACGGGAGGCAGCAGUGAGGAAUUUUGCGCAAUGGGGGUAACCCUGACGCAAAAAACGCCGCGUGAGUGACGAAGGCCUUUGGGUCGUAAAGCUCUGUCGACAGGGA
rnacentral:rRNA from 1 species